rnacentral:rRNA from 1 species
CCUGGCGAACUGAAACAUCUUAGUAGCUAGAGGAAAAUAAAUCAAAAGUGAUUCCCGUAGUAGCGGCGAGCGAAAUGGGAGCAGCCUAAACCGUGAAAGUGGGGUUGUGGGAGAGCAAUACAAGCGUUGUGCUGCUAGGCGAAGCGGUUGAGUGCCGCACCCUAGAUGGCUAAAGUCCAGUAGCCGAAAGCAUCACUAGCUUAUGCUCUGACCCGAGUAGCAUGGGGCACGUGGAAUCCCGUGCGAAUCAGCAAGGACCACCUUGCAAGGCUAAAUACUCCUGGGUGAACGAUAGCGAAGUAGUACUGUGAGGGAAAGUUGAAAAGAACCCCCAGUGGGUAGUGAAAUAGAACAUGAACCCGUGCUGAGCUCCCAAGCAGUGGGAGGAGAAAGUGAUCUCUGACCGCGUGCCUGUUGAAGAAUGA